GAUGAACGCUGGCGGCGUGCCUAAUACAUGCAAGUCGAACGCACAGCGAAAGGUGCUUGCACCUUUCAAGUGAGUGGCGAACGGGUGAGUAACACGUGGACAACCUGCCUCAAGGCUGGGGAUAACAUUUGGAAACAGAUGCUAAUACCGAAUAAAACUCAGUGUCGCAUGACACAAAGUUAAAAGGCGCUUUGGCGUCACCUAGAGAUGGAUCCGCGGUGCAUUAGUUAGUUGGUGGGGUAAAGGCCUACCAAGACAAUGAUGCAUAGCCGGGUUGAGAGACUGAUCGGCCACAUUGGGACUGAGACGCGGCCCAAACUCCUACGGGAGGCUGCAGUAGGGAAUCUUCCGCAAUGGGCGAAAGCCUGAUGGAGCAACGCCGCGUGUGUGAUGAAGGCUUUCGGGUCGUAAAGCACUGUUGUAUGGGAAGAACAGCUAGAAUAGGGAAUGAUUUUAGUUUGACGGUACCAUACCAGAAAGGGACGGCUAAAUACGUGCCAGCCGCCGCGGUAA
rnacentral:rRNA from 1 species